UACGUAGGGAGCAAGCGUUGUCCGGAAUCAUUGGGCGUAAAGCGCGCGUAGGCGGCCCGAUAAGUCCGCUGUGAAAGUCAACGGCUCAACUGUUGGAUGCCGGUGGAUACUGUCGGGCUAGAGUACGGAAGAGGCAAGUGGAAUUCCUGGUGUAGCGGUGGAAUGCGCAGAUAUCAGGAGGAAUACCUAUAGCGAAGGCAGCUUGCUGGGACGUUACUGACGCUAAGGCGCGAAAGCGUGGGAGCGAACAGG
rnacentral:rRNA from 1 species